AUGCAAAGCCGCCCCGAUCGAUCAAAUCUGGAUCUCGGCGGUGGCGCCUCCUCCCUCUCCCCGCACACCGGCGCAUCCUUCGGAGCCCUCCCCGCCACCUCCUUUCCCAGCACCCACGCGACUGCCCCUCCUCCCCACAUUGCGGCCGUGAGAGCCCUCAAAAGGCUAGCCCUGGAGGACUGCUUCAAGAGGAUGAUCUGCUUCGAGACUCUGAACCCGCCGUGCCUGCUGCUGCCGUGCGGCCAGGCACCCGAGAUCUUCGACAUCGCCGGCCACUUCGCUGGGUCAGGCAGCAUCAAGGACCCGCCCAGGAUCCCCGUCAUAUGCAAGCCCAACGUCGGCGCCAUGGAGCCGGCCCUCAAGAUCGCCAACGUCAACCCAGAUCCAUGCACUACCUCCCUUUGCCGCCGGAUCCCCGUGAGGCAUGCUCAGAUCCGUCCGCCAACCGCUAGUGACGAUGCGUACGGCGCCGCCACGGCUGUGCUCGAGCGCCUUCAGCAACGCAGCAACCCACCGAAAGGAGAAAUUGCGGAGGAAUGCGCGCGUCGCCGCUUUGGCGACGACGUCCCCGCCGCUGGGCAGGAAGAGUGUUUCCACGCCUUCAACCUCCAUGUCCACGAUGUCGUACUCGAUGCCCACCUGCAAGUACUGAUAAGACAUGCUUCAAAAAUGGAGGAGGGAGGACGUGAGCUGCUACCUUGGUUCCUGUCCGCACCAGCUGCCACAGUAUGUAAUCAGGCCUCCACUAUCGUCCUCUGAAUUUUGGGUUACAUGCAUCUACAAGAGCGUGAGAGCUUGAGAGGGUAGCACAAUUCUACGUAGAAGUUAUUUUUCUCCAUGAAGUUGAUCAUGCGAAGCUGGUGCCAGAUAGAAGGUUAAUUGAGUUCUCAUCUCCAAAAUGUUUGCAUUAUAAGUAUCCUCUUUGAUUCAGUGGUUCCAUGAUGCUACAGUUCACUUGUUUUUCACCUCUUGAUGCUACUAUACACAGAAGGUGUUUGCUAAUUUGCACAUUAAAAUUUUCUGAUAAACUGUGCCAAUAUCACAUGCAUAUGUAUUUUUUAGUGAUGUCCGAUUAUUAAUCCAUGCUACAAUAGAACGUGCUCACAUAACAAGUUUUUCCGCAAUCUUCGCAAGCAAGUAUUUGUUUGUCUAACUGCAGGUGGAAUAACAAGAUCCACUGUGUGUGUGCAAUGGCAACAAUAAAUACUCUGUCAUUAGGGAGACUUCUGAUAAUUCUACUCUGCAUUUUUUUGCUUCGUACAAGUGUUCUGCCGCAUUGUGCAACUACGAUUGACAAAUAUGAUACACCUCAGGGGUUCUUUUUAUAUAUAUGGACUGAACAAUUGAUUUAGGUUUUUUUGUCAUACAG
rnacentral:rRNA from 1 species